rnacentral:rRNA from 1 species
CCUACGGGUGGCACCAGUGGGGAAUAUUGGACAAUGGGCGCAAGCCUGAUCCAGCCAUGCCGCGUGAGUGAUGAAGGCCUUAGGGUUGUAAAGCUCUUUUGUCCGGGAAGAUAAUGACUGUACCGGAAGAAUAAGCCCCGGCUAACUUCGUGCCAGCAGCCGCGGUAAUACGAAGGGGGCUAGCGUUGCUCGGAAUCACUGGGCGUAAAGGGCGCGUAGGCGGACUUUUAAGUCGGAGGUGAAAGCCCAGGGCUCAACCCUGGAAUUGCCUUCGAUACUGGGAGUCUUGAGUUCGGAAGAGGUUGGUGGAACUGCGAGUGUAGAGGUGAAAUUCGUAGAUAUUCGCAAGAACACCGGUGGCGAAGGCGGCCAACUGGUCCGAAACUGACGCUGAGGCGCGAAAGCGUGGGGAGCAAACAGGAUUAGAUACCCCGGUAGUC